GGGUGGUAAUGCCGGAUGUUCCAGUUGAUCGCAUGGUCUUCUGGGAAAGCUUUCGCGGUAUGGGAUGGGGUCGCGUCCUAUCAGCUUGACGGCGGGGUAACGGCCCACCGUGGCUUCGACGGGUAGCCGGCCUGAGAGGGCGACCGGCCACAUUGGGACUGAGAUACGGCCCAGACUCCUACGGGAGGCAGCAGUGGGGAAUAUUGCACAAUGGGCGCAAGCCUGAUGCAGCGACGCCGCGUGAGGGAUGGAGGCCUUCGGGUUGUAAACCUCUUUUAUCGGGGAGCAAGCGAGAGUGAGUUUACCCGUUGAAUAAGCACCGGCUAACUACGUGCCAGCAGCCGCGGUAAUACGUAGGGUGCAAGCGUUAUCCGGAAUUAUUGGGCGUAAAGGGCUCGUAGGCGGUUCGUCGCGUCCGGUGUGAAAGUCCAUCGCUUAACGGUGGAUCCGCGCCGGGUACGGGCGGGCUUGAGUGCGGUAGGGGAGACUGGAAUUCCCGGUGUAACGGUGGAAUGUGUAGAUAUCGGAAAAAAAACACCA
rnacentral:rRNA from 1 species